GUGAACCAAGGGGACCCUGGGCAAGGAGAUGCCUUCAGCCAAGGGGCCUUGCAGGCCAGAUUCGGUGGGGGAGAGGCUGAUCUAGGAAGAAGGGUCCUACCAUCUAGAGCCUGAGGGCGUGUGGCCACCACCAGAGCUGAGGAAUCACAUCCACAAGUUGCUCCAGAUCGUCCCGUCUUCCAGGGGACAGGGAAGGGAAAUGGCUGCGAUGGAGCCACCUAAGAUGCCGGUGACCUUCGAGGAGGUGGCUGUGUAUUUCACACAGGGGC